rnacentral:rRNA from 1 species
AACGCUGGCGGCGUGCUUAACACAUGCAAGUCGAACGGAGUUAAAGAUUUCGGUUUUUAACUUAGUGGCGAACGGGUGAGUAACGCGUGAGGAACCUGCCUCUCAGUGGGGGACAACAGUUGGAAAUGACUGCUAAUACCGCAUAAAACCGUAGUACCGCAUGGUACAUCGGUCAAAGAUUUAUUGCUGAGAGAUGGCCUCGCGUCUGAUUAGCUAGUUGGUGGGGUAACGGCUCACCAAGGCGACGAUCAGUAGCCGGUCUGAGAGGAUGAACGGCCACAUUGGGACUGAGACACGGCCCAGACUCCUACGGGAGGCAGCAGUGGGGAAUCUUCCGCAAUGGACGAAAGUCUGACGGAGCAAUGCCGCGUGAGUGAUGAAGGUUUUCGGACCGUAAAGCUCUUUUGUUUAUGACGAAUGUGCAUUAUGUGAAUAAUGUAGUGUAAUGACGGUAGUAAACGAAUAAGCCACGGCUAACUACGUG